GGAAUCUCAACUGAAGCAUCCAUGGCAUAUGGUCAUCCAGCCUCUGCUUAAAAACCUCCAAGGAAGGACAGUCCACAAACUCCUGAGAGAGCCUGUUCCGCUAUCCAACAGCUCAUACUGUCAGAAAGUUCUUCCUGAUAUUUAGUUGGAAUCUCUUUUCUUGUAACUUGAAGCCAUUGGUUUGAGUUCAACCCUCCAGAGCAAGAGAACUUGUUCCCUCUUCCACGUAACUGUCACAGAUGAGCCAGCCCAGCCAGCUCCCAGUGAAGGAAGUAGACAGGAAGAGAGAGGGUUAACUGCCAGACAAGAUGAUCAUACCCUAGUGCCAGCUCCCCCGCCCUUAGGAAUGCCAGUUGAUAAGAGAAUGGUGGAGGGCGAGCCUGCCUCUGCAGAGGGUGGAGCUGAUCCAAUCUCUCCCUGGAGCCGGUGUAUGGGGGGCUUGCUAGACAGGAAGCAAAAAAAGACGUAAGCUUCAUAAGUUCACUUUCUGUUUUAGAAAACGGAAGGGACCCUUAGAAGGGUCAUCUUGAUUCAUGAUGGCGGAGGCUGUGUUAAUGCCGUCCGGAGUGAUCUGUUUGUUUCGACAAUAAUCAUCCUUUUUAAUUAACUGCGCUCACUGUGUUAUCAAGCCGAGGGCUGGACUCUUGACAGUAACAGUCCUUGAGAUAUUUGACGGUGGCUAUUAUAUCUCCUCUUUUCUAGGCUAAACAUACCCAGCUCCUCCAACCGUUCCCCAUAAGGCUUUGUUUCCAGACCCUCUAUCAUCUUGGUUGCCGUCCUCUGCACACAUUCCAGCUUGUCAAUAUCCUUCUUAAACUGUGGCACCCAGAACUGGUGUGCUGGUCCCGUGGGUUGCUCGAGAGGCGAGGUCCAAGUCCAGUCCGUGGUCAAAGGUGCAACGUGGAGGCAGUCCAUAGUAGCUGAAGCUGGGUGCAGGGCAGGGAGUCGGGUGAAGUCAGGAACUCUGACAGAAAAGCAGGACGGGGUUCAGGCAGGAACUAGCAACCAACAAUGUUGCUCCCACAACUUGGGACUGGGGCUGGCUGGCUUUUAUCUGCCCCGAGGCAUAGGGCAGCUCCGAUCCUCUGGUGACUUGCUUCUCCUGGCCUGGAGGCGAGCACUCCUCCUGCGGGAACUUAGUUCCCUCCGCCUCUCUGGCCUGAGCCUCUGUAGCUCAGGAGAGGCUGAACCUCAGCUUCCUCUGACAGGGCUGAGAGUGGAGCACCUGCAAGCAAUGGGUCCUCCAUCACCUCAAGAGCCAGAGCAGACUCAGCUGAUGCCUGCACCUGAGGACCCAGCACAGGUGAGGACCCUUCAGGCUCAUGCCCCAGCCCCGGCGGGGAAUCCUGUGCAGGCUGGGAUCCCUCAGGUUCAGCAUCCAAGUCUGAAUCCCAGGCCAUCACAACUGGACACAGUAUUGCAGGUGUGGUCUGAGCAAGGCAGAAUAGAGAUGGGUGUCAUUAAAGUUGGUUUCAUGUGUAAUAGGAGCACAUAAAUUGAUGUUAAUAAAGUAUCUUGUCCUCUUUGUGCAUUUGCAUGAACUUGCAGGGAUUAGAAGUGUGUAGAGAGGCAGAGGCACAUGUGCUGGCCUUACCAGCAAUAUCCUGCUGCAUCCUGGCUCCCCUCAGACCUUUGCACAGUGGGCACAAAAGUUUGAAGAGGACUUCUAUGUAAAGGUAAAGGUAAAGGACCCCUGGAUGUUUAAGUCCAGUCAAAGGCAACUAUGGGGUUGCGGUGCUCAUCUCGUUUUCAGGCUGAGGGAGCCGGCAUUUGUCCACAGACAGUUUUCCGGGUCAUGUGGCCAGCAGGACUAAACUGUCUUGGACUCCUAUGUGCUUUUGGCACAUAGACACCCCUGUCCUUUUGGGAAGCUUGAUAAGGCAAGGUCCCCAAUCCCUCAGGGGAUUCAAAGUACAGUGGUACCUCUGGUUACGAAUGCUUCUGGUUACGAGCUCCGCUAACCUGGAAGUAGCUGCUCCCGGUUGUGAACUUUGCCCCAGGAUGUGAACAGAAAUUGUGUGGUCGAGGCGAACGUGCAGCGGGAAGCCCCAUUAGCAAAAGCUCGCCUCAGGAUAAGAACGGUUUCAGGUUAAGAAGGGACCUCUGGAACAAAUUAAGUUCAUAACCAGAGGUACCACUGUAUAUUCAAACAAGUAUUUGUGUUCAAUGUGCGAAGGUCUGAGAGUAGCCACAACACGUGGAGACAUGGUAGAGGGCUUGCAUGCAUGUUCCUAUCCCUCUAUAGCUCUUUAACCUUCACAGGUUUAGACAAACUCCCACCGAGGGUUAAUAUUACUCAAUCACAAGGGGAGAAAUCUUUGUUCUCUGUUAUCCCCACCAUGCUGACACAGGCUGUUCAUCCCCUAGUCACUCACUGAAGCACCUGGAUUCCAGUCCUUUCCAGGGAUAUUUAACUGCUCUGGCCAUGUCCUGGCUUGAACUGUAGAACAGCUGAGCUAUUAGUCAUUGUGACUAAGUUUUGAUGGAUUCUGCCCAUGGUGAAAGACAAUAAUAAGGUUGUCUAUUAGUGAGGUACUAUAGGGGACCUUGCAUGAAAUAUGAAGGGCUUUAUCUAUGCUGGCUCCGACACGGUUCAUCGGGACUAUGUCUUGCUGAGUCAAACCACAAAGAGUUUUGGGCUCACCGAAGGAAUUGUACCACCUGAAGCUGCUUCAUCUUCGUUCUUCUGAACCAACGAGCCAAAGAAUGUAAUGAGGGGAGAUUUGUUGUGGGGGAGGAAGGGAAAGGAGAAUGUUAGCCGCUUUGAGACUCCUUAAAGGGAGUGAAACACGGGAUAUCAAAUCCAAACUCUUCUUCUUCUUCAGGAAAAAUGACAAGGGAGGUCUUCAUUUCAGCAAACAGUGAAAGAAUAGAUCCAUGUAGGCGAAAGGAUGUAGAGAAGAAUGGGAAAGAGCAAACAAACCACAUGUAAAUAAUAAUAAAAUAAAAUAAAAUAAAAUAAAAUGGG